CAGCCGUUGAACCAACCGUCCAGCAGAAGUUACCCAACAUGUGGGAUUGCAAAGCUUGCCGCUGGCUCAUGAAGGUGGGAUGCUAAGCAUGCUGAAGAAGCACGGGAAAGAAAGCAUGGGAAGCAGGGAAUGGAAACAGCAAGAGAAGAUGGAGAUGGGAGAAAGUGGAGACGGGAGUGAUGAUGAAUGGCAGCGUAGAUGAGAAAUGACUUGUGUAGAGGGGGCCGAAGAGGAGUAGAUGCAUUCAUACCGCCGUUUGAGAAUGGUAAUGGUAUCGGCGUUAGGCACCUCGGCGUGUGCAGCUUGCCGGGUGCUCCGCCGGAAAUGCACUGCUCAGUGUUUAUUUGCACCUUUCUUCCCCCCCGACCAGCCACAGAAGUUUGCUCAUGUUCACAAGACUCUGAAGUAGUACCUAACAGAGUACCUCGACCUCGGGAAAUGAACAAUUUGUAUUCACGUUGUUCAGGAUGGUAGAUUGGGAAUCACUCGAUUGGGUUUGCUGCUCAUAUCUCAACACAACCCUAGAAUCAUUCCAACAAGACAUGAUGCAAACUCUUAGUCAACCACGCGGUUUGUUCUGUGAGACUAAGUUUGAAAUUCUUACGAGAGCAAUGUGGCAUUGGUGGUUUCGUCAUCACCAGAUAAAAAUAAGUAAUAAAGAUAUUGAAUGCGCCAGAAACUCAAUAGCAAUGACUUCAUGGUUUCUCUUGCUUUGAGUCUGCUGUUAUGUGGUUUCAAUGUGGACAGGUCUUUGGUUCCAUCAGCAAGAGCUAGAAUUUCCAUAAUUAUACAGCCCUUGCAUCAAUUCGGGACAUCAGACUCGAAAAAACGUGGUGGGACUCUACAGGCUGGUAGGUGUUUGGCGUCGCAAAUGUCACAAAGAUGCUGCAUGAGUUGCCACCUCCCCACCGUGAAGAUUGUGUGAAUUCCCUUGCGUACGAGGCAGAUGCAGGGGUUCAAGACCCUGUUUAUGGCUGUGUAGGAGCCAUAUCUGUCCUUCAGCAGCAGGUGGCGCACUUGCAGACACAACUGGCGAUAGCAACCUCCGCGAUCAAGACUUCGUUAGACCUUCGCCAUCACCACCAGCGCCUCCAACGCUUACUCCAGUCCUCCUUUUUGCAAACCUGCUCCUGCAAUCGACGAGCCAACUCUCUUACUUGGGCCUUCUCAAGCUUUUAAGAACGAUCAAUCUGCCGACCUUGAUCGCCCCACUCUUGCAGUUGAUCCACCAAAUGAAGAAUCAUCCCCCCAGCAACAACCACAGCCAGCCGUUACUUCUUGGGACACCUCAAGGCCUGCUUCUUCAGAACUCCUCCGGCUUCCUUGCAGUGCUCCUCGAACAUCUCAGCCUGAGCUAAUUGUUCGCCAGCAAAUCUGAAUCUUUGUGAGGAAUUACAACAUUUUUCUAUGGUAUAGCUUGCACUCUAGCAAGUGAUCGAAGAUGAAAUUGAUGAAUCGCAUGAGUCUGGGUGAUGCUCUCUCAUUACAUCGACCGUUUUAUAAUUGACACAAGUUCUUUCAUGACAUAUUAGCUGCCCAGCUUGAAGAAGAGUGGAACAGAAAUUACAAAAGAUUGUCUUGAAGCCUACUAGCUAUCACAUUAACUUGAGAUUUAAUCUACCUCAACUUGAACACCAUACCCCUGAAUCUGCUGUAUUUUUCUCCGAGGCCGGCACGACUGAGGCCAGCAGCUCCAUGGACAUGCAAACACAGGCUCCACAAUGCAUCUCAAAACCAACAAAACAGUUUGUGCAACGAAAACACGAGUGAUCCCAGAACUGAACGUAUUGCAUAUCUUCAUGAUCUGUUCGAGGAAUCGUGAACUUGUUUGAGCAAAUGCAGCAUCAAACUUCGAAAACCUCUCAAGACUUGACCAGAUGGCAUGAGUAACUGCUCUAGCUGAAAUGAAAUGAUUUUGGUAACAGCUUGAGUUUAAAUAAUAGUUUUUUGAAACUUGUGUACAAAAUUUUUGGAGACUCUUGCAUUAAAGAUUUUGAUACAAUAUUUUU